GAUGAAGAACGUAGCGAAAUGCGAUAAGUAGUGUGAAUUGCAGAAUUCAGUGAAUCAUCGAAUCUUUGAACGCACAUUGCGCCCUUUGGUAUUCCUUAGGGCAUGCCUGUUCGAGCGUCAUUUAAACCUUCAAGCUCAGCUUGGUGUUGGGUGACUGUCCGCUUCACCGCGCACUCGCCUCAAAAUUAUUGGCGGCCGGUACAUUGGCUUCGAGCGCAGCAGAAACGCGAACUCGGGCCCGUCGUAUUGGCUCCCAGAAGCUAUCUUCACAAUUUUGACCUCGGAUCAGGUAGGGAUACCCGCUGAACUUAAGCAUAUCAAUAAGCGGAGGA
rnacentral:misc_RNA from 1 species